AAAGUGAUGAGCAAAUGGCUGAAACUGAAGGGAAGUGCGGCAUUGAUAACAAUAACUUCAUGGACAAUAAGAGCAGUGAAGCUAGGGAGACCUUGAUGGCCAU